GCGGCGGGACCCGGGCAGCGGCGCGGGACCUGUUUCGGCGGAGGUUGCAGAAUCAUCAUGUACUCUAAUUGAUAAAAAGACAGAAGCAGUCUCCGCCAGCCAAGAAACCAGCAAAGAAACUUCACAAUGGAUGUAGACGAUGAAGAAAACAUGAGUUCGAGCAGCACCGAUGUUAAAGAAAACCGCAACGUGGACAACGUUCCCCCCAAGGAAGGUGUCGGGCAAGGCGCCGGGGAGGGGACACAGCUCUCCAAUGGGGGUGGCAGCAGCAGCAGAAAGCGUCCUCUGGAGGAGGGCAACAAUGGCCACUCCAAAUUUCGCCCAAAGAAGAGGAAGAAAACGCCCGGCCCCGUUCUGCCAAAAAAUGCUCUGAUGCAACUUAACGAAAUCAAACCGGGUUUACAGUACAAACUCCUCUCCCAGACAGGGCCGGUCCAUGCCCCCAUGUUCGUGAUGGCAGUCGAAGUCAACGGGCAGAUGUUCGAGGGAUCUGGCCCCACAAAAAAGAAAGCCAAGCUUCACGCUGCUGAGAAGGCUCUGCGGUCUUUCGUCCAGUUCCCAAACGCCUCAGAAGCCCACCUGGCAAUGGGGAGGACUCUGUCCGUCAACACGGACUUCACCUCUGACCAAGCAGACUUCCCUGACACCCUUUUCAACGGCUUCGAAACGCCGGUCCCUUCCGAUGCUUCCUUUUACCUGGGGUCCAAUGGGGACGGGUCCUUUAGCUCCAGUGGGGACUAUGGUUUGCCAUCAUCAGCCGUAGCCAGCAGCCUUUCCCAGUCGCCUCUCCCCGUGCCAUCUCCCUACCCCUCUGCCAGUGGGAAGAACCCCAUCAUGAUCCUCAACGAGCUGCGGCCGGGGCUGAAGUACGAGUUCUUGUCAGAGAGCGGGGAGAGCCACGCCAAAAACUUUGUCAUGGCCGUGGCAGUGGACGGUCAGACUUUCGAAGGCUCAGGAAGGAAUAAAAAGCUGGCAAAAGCUCGAGCCGCUCAGUCAGCCCUGGCGUCCUUGUUUAACAUGCAGCUGGACCAGACCCCAUCUCGACAGCCCAUUCCCAGUGAGGGGCUCCAGUUACACUUGCCACAGGUUUUAGCAGAUGCUGUUGCACGCUUGGUUGUAGAUAAAUUCAGUGACUUGACAGAAAAUUUCACAUCUCCACACGCACGAAGAAAAGUCCUUGCUGGAGUUGUCAUGACAACAGGUACAGAUGUGAAAGAUGCCCUGGUAAUAAGUGUUUCCACAGGAACAAAAUGCAUCAAUGGUGAAUACAUGAGUGAUCGUGGUCUUGCACUAAAUGACUGUCAUGCAGAAAUUGUUUCUCGACGGUGCCUGCUUAAAUUUCUGUAUACACAACUUGAACUUUAUCUCAGCAAUAAAGAUGAUCAACAAAAGUCCAUUUUUAUCAGAUCGGAGCGAGGCGGGUUCAAGCUGAAAGAGAACGUGCAGUUUCAUCUCUAUAUCAGCACAUCUCCUUGUGGUGAUGCUAGGAUCUUCUCACCACACGAAGCAGCCCAGGAGGAUCAAGGCGACAGGCAUCCAAACCGCAAAGCCAGAGGCCAGCUAAGGACAAAAAUAGAAUCUGGGGAAGGGACCAUCCCUGUGCGCUCUACCACCACCAUCCAGACCUGGGAUGGUGUCUUGCAAGGAGAAAGGCUACUUACCAUGUCCUGCAGUGACAAGAUAGCAAGAACAGAAUCCAUCUCUCGCUUGCGUAGCUAGCUGUCACCUCUCCUUGGGGCUAAUGGGAAUAAUUUUGUUUGUGCCAGUGAAGGAAGCAAAUAGAACCCCUUGACACAGAACAAAGACUGUAUGACGGGUGGAACGUAUUGGGUAUUCAAGGAGCCUUACUUAGCCUCUUUGUGGAGCCAAUUUACUUCUCUA